UUCUACAGCCAAGCCACCCUGUACAAGCCCGAUCCUGUCUGAUCCAAGUACUAAGUCAGGCCUGGUUAGUACUUGGAUGGGAGACCACCUAGGAAGACCAGGUGCUGUAGGUG
rnacentral:rRNA from 1 species